rnacentral:rRNA from 1 species
CCUACGGGAGGCAGCAGUGGGGGAUAUUGCACAAUGGGGGGAACCCUGAUGCAGCGACGCCGCGUGGGUGAAGAAGCGCCUCGGCGCGUAAAGCCCUGUCAGCAGGGAAGAAAAUGACGGUACCUGAAGAAGAAGCCCCGGCUAACUACGUGCCAGCAGCCGCUGUAAUACGUAGGGGGCAAGGGUUAUCCGGAUUUACUGGGUGAAAAGGGGGCUCAGACGGCGGUGCAAGCCAGGGGUGAAAGCCCGGGGCCCAACCCCGGGACUGCUCUUGGAACUGCGUGGCUGGAGUGCAGGAGGGGCAGGCGGAAUUCCUGGUGUAGCGGUGAAAUGCGUAGAUAUCAGGAGGAACACCGGGGGCGAGGGCGGCCUGCGGGACUGCAACUGACGUUGAGGCCCGAAAGCGUGGGGAGCAAACAGGAUUAGAUACCGGGUAGUC